GAUCGCUGGCGGCAGGCCUAACACAUGCAAGUCGAGCGGCAGCGGGAAAGUAGCUUGCUACUUUUGCCGGCGAGCGGCGGACGGGUGAGUAAUGCCUGGGGAUCUGCCCAGUCGAGGGGGAUAACUACUGGAUACGGUAGCUAAUACCGCAUUCGCCCUACGGGGGAAAGCAGGGGACCUUCGGGCCUUGCGCGAUUGGAUGAACCCAGGUGGGAUUAGCUAGUUGGUGAGGUAAUGGCUCACCAAGGCGACGAUCCCUAGCUGGUCUGAGAGGAUGAUCAGUCACACUGGAACUGAGACACGGUCCAGACUCCUACGGGAGGCAGCAGUGGGGAAUAUUGCACAAUGGGGGAAACCCUGAUGCAGCCAUGCCGCGUGUGUGAAGAAGGCCUUCGGGUUGUAAAGCACUUUCAGCGAGGAGGAAAGGCUGGUAGUUAAUACCUGCCAGCUGUGACGUUACUCGCAGAAGAAGCACCGGCUAACUCCGUGCCAGCAGCCGCGGUAAUACGGAGGGUGCAAGCGUUAAUCGGAAUUACUGGGCGUAAAGCGCACGCAGGCGGUCGAUAAGUUAGAUGUGAAAUGCCCCGGGCUCAACCUGGGAAUUGCAUUUAAAACUGUCCAGCUAGAGUCUUGUAGAGGGGGGUAGAAUUCCAGGUGUAGCGGUGAAAUGCGUAGAGAUCUGGAGGAAUACCGGUGGCGAAGGCGGCCCCCUGGACAAAGACUGACGCUCAGGUGCGAAAGCGUGGGGAGCAAACAGGAU
rnacentral:rRNA from 1 species